rnacentral:lncRNA from 1 species
GCCUAGAAAUGGGGGACCGUGGGUUCAAAUCUAGCCUCAGACACCUCCUAACUGCAAGACCCUGACCAAGUCACGUGAUUCCAAUGGCAUUAGUCCUCACCACUCUUCUUCCUUGGAAUGAAUACUUAGUAUUGCUUCCAAGAUGGAAGAUCAUUCUUAAAGGAAGGCUUGAUGAUCAAAACAUAGUCAGUAAUCCCAAAAUUCUUCUGUCUUCAGCAACUCUCACUGCCUUUCAGAGAAGCUGCACAAACAGAAUGAUUCCAGGAAGAAUGCUGAGCAAGGAAAUGGCAAACCACUGUAAUAGAGGAACUUAAGCUUAAUCUGGCAGAGAAAGAAGACAAGCAGAUUUAUCAGGCUCAAGGACCAACAGGAGUUGGCAAAGGAUAGGAAGGAGAGAGAGUUCUGAAGAAAGGACAGAGGAAGUGAGAGGAUCUGGACAGUGGAAGAAAACUUCUCUGUGGGAAGCUCACCAGAAAGGCAGACCUGAGCAAAUCUCUGAGCCAGCACCAUCCUCCUGUGACUUCUGACCCAGUAUCCAGUGAAGACAAGCAGAGUGAAUAGGACUUUGCUAAAAGCAUUCGUCAUAAGAAGAUUUUCUCUGAAUCCCCUGGAAGUCCUUGAACUUGUUACAACAGCUUGAGCAGCUGGAAAGUCAGGACAUCUUCACAACUGACCCCAGAGGGUCAGGCAGGCAAGGCCUAACCCUGCCAGACUUAGAGAAGGGGUUCAGUUACUUCUAGGGACCUCAGACUCCCUCUUUCCCAAUACCUCAUUCCUCAAUUCAAUUGCCCUACCCUUCAUUUGUUCCCUUAGAAUAAACAGCUUUUCAUAAGAU